rnacentral:rRNA from 1 species
CGUGUAGGCGGCCGGACAAGUCAGAUGUGAAAUCCCUGGGCUCAACCCAGGAAGUGCAUUUGAAACUGUUCGGCUAGAGUAGGGGAGAGGGAAGUGGAAUUCCUGGUGUAAAGGUGAAAUUCGUAGAUAUCAGGAGGAACACCGGUGGCGAAGGCGACUUCCUGGCCCUAUACUGACGCUGAGACGCGAGAGCGUGGGGAGCAAACAG